GAUGAACGCUGGCGGCGUGCCUAAUACAUGCAAGUCGAACGCGAGCAGCAAUGCUCGAGUGGCGAACGGGUGAGUAAUACAUAAGUAACCUGCCCUAGACAGGGGGAUAACUGCUGGAAACGGCAGCUAAUACCGCAUAAUGUGCUUUGGGGGCAUCCCCGAGGUACCAAAGAUUUAUCGCUCUAAGAUGGGCUCGCGUCUGAUUAGAUAGUUGGUGGGGUAACGGCCUACCAAGUCGACGAUCAGUAGCCGGACUGAGAGGUUGAACGGCCACAUUGGGACUGAGAUACGGCCCAGG
rnacentral:rRNA from 1 species